UUUUGGUUAAAUUGCAACAUCGGAUUAACAAGGUCCAAUGAGCAAACAUACAAAAAGUCCAACAAAGAUAAUAUAAACAUGUCAAAUACGCAAGCUCAACAAAUACAAGAACCGAAACCCAUAAACUAAAGCAAAAAACCACAAGUCAGAACCAAACUUGAAAAGCCAACCCGAGGGACCAGAGAAACUAGAUCACCAGAGACCUAAACAAAGUAACCAGUUCUUGUAAUAGCAGGACUUAAAGCAUUUUGAAGGGCUGACAAAAACAAAGAUUCGCAACACCAUAGAAAUCGCCGAUUAAUUAAUAAGUCACCACCUUUGAUAUCAACCCAGUCAGACGCUAAACCUCAAAAAUAACAAAAUCAUCAUCAUCGAUUGUCAUCAGGAGGGGAGGCGAGUAGAGCUCAUAACCUCUCAGUCUCUUCGAGAAAUUGGCAAUGUAAAUGCAGAUUCUGCACAUCACGUCUCCAUAUGACAUCAUAGAAACAGGGCCAAGGGUUAAUACAUUUAUGCAUAUAUAAUGCAAAAGCUUUCUACUGGAGACUAG
rnacentral:misc_RNA from 1 species